AUGUCUAGCGUUGGUGUUCUUGUCUCUGAUCCAUGGCUCCAGAACCAGUUCACCCAAGUGCAGCUCCGAACGCUCCGAACAAAAUUCACUUCCGCAAAGAGAUCGGAUGCCGAGCAGGUAACUAUAAAAGAUUUGCCGCCGGUAAUGGAGAAGCUUAGGGGCAUUCAAGAGGUUCUGACUGAGGAGGAGAUCACAAAUUUUUUGAGCGAGUCUUACCCCGAUAUGGACCAGUCAAUCGAAUUUGAGCCAUUCCUUAGGGAGUACUUAAAUCUUCAAGCAAAGGGAGCCAGCAAAUCAGGAGGCAAAAAGAAAUUGAAGGGAUCAGUGUCAUUUUUGAAGGCGUCCACCACUACUCUCUUGCACGUCAUUAAUGAAUCUGAAAAAACUUCUUAUGUCAAUCAUAUCAAUAAAUUUCUCGGGGAGGACCCUUUCCUGAAGAAUUUCUUGCCAUUGAAUCCAGCAUCAAACGAUAUAUUUAAUCUUAUUGGGGAUGGUGUUCUACUUUGCAAGUUGAUCAAUGUUGCUGUUCCCGGCACAAUAGACGAGAGAGCAAUCAAUACAAAGAAGGAACCGAAUCCAUGGGAGAGGAAUGAGAACCACACUCUUUGUCUCAACUCUGCCAAGGCCAUUGGUUGUACUGUUGUUAACAUUGGGACACAGGAUCUGAUUGAAGCUAGACCUCAUCUAGUUCUUGGUUUGCUAUCCCAAAUCAUAAAGAUACAACUCUUAGCAGAUUUGAAUCUGAGGAAUACACCUCAGUUGUUGGAGUUGGUGGCUGGUGAUAACAGCAAGGAAGCAGAGGAGCUUGUCACCUUAGCACCAGACAAGAUGUUGCUCAAAUGGAUGAACUUUCAUAUCAAGAAAGCAGGGUACAAAAAAACUGUAACAAAUUUCUCUACUGAUGUUAAGGAUGGUGAAGCGUAUGCUUACCUUCUCAGCGCCCUUGCUCCCGAGCAUAGCUCAACGACCAUGAUAGAAACUACAGAUCCUAAAGAAAGGGCAAAGAAAGUACUUGAAACCGCCGAAAAGCUUGAUUGUACAAGAUAUGUAACAUCUAAAGAUAUUAAUGAGGGUUCAGCAAAUCUCAACUUGGCAUUUGUCGCACAAAUAUUCCAGCAAAGAAAUGGUCUAUCAUCGAACAAGGUGGCUCCUGUCGUCCAAGAUACCCCUGAUGAUGUUGAAGCAUCGAGGGAAGGGAGAGCAUUUCGCUUGUGGAUCAACAGUCUUGGAAUUGCAACUUACGUGAACAAUUUAUUUGAGGAUGUUAGGACUGGAUGGGUUCUUCUAGAAGUGCUUGACAAAAUUUCUCCAGGAUCAGUUAUCUGGAAACAAGCAUCGAAACCUCCAAUUAUCAUGCCGUUUAGGAAGGUUGAGAACUGCAAUCAGGUUAUCAGAAUUGGGAAGGAGUUAAAUUUUUCGCUUGUGAAUGUAGCAGGAAAUGACAUUGUUCAAGGAAACAAGAAGCUAACCCUUGCUUUCCUGUGGCAACUCAUGAGGACCAGCAUCCUACAGCUGCUAAAGAACUUGAGAUCCCACUCUAAAGACAAAGAAAUUACAGAUGCUGACAUUCUGAUCUGGGCGAAUAAUAAGGUCAAGGAAUCAGGAAAAACAUCUCACAUCGAAAACUUCAAGGAUAAGAGCUUAUCAGACGGGAUGUUCUUCCUGGAUCUUCUAAGCGCUGUGCAAAGUAGAGUUGUUGACUGGAAUAUGGUGAAGAAGGGGGAGGAUGAUGAUGAGAAGAAGAUGAAUGCAACAUACAUCAUAACUGUUGCUAGGAAACUUGGGUGCACCGUGUUCUGGUUGCCAGAGGACAUAAUGGAGGUAAAUCCCAAGAUGAUCCUCACUCUUACUGCAAGCAUCAUGUACUGGAGUCUGCAGAAGCAUGGACCUUACGAAGGCCCCGGGCCAGCAGGAUCCGCAGCGUCACAAGAAGCUCUCCCAGAAGAGGAGGAGGAGGAGGUGGUGGAGGUGGAGGAGGAGGAAGAAGAAGAAUUAGAAGCAGAAGCAGAGGCAGAGGCGGAAGCAGAAGCAGAGGCAGAGGCAGAUGCAGAAGCAGAAGCAGAGGCAGAAGCAGAAGCAGAAAAAGGAGGAGAAGAAAGCCUUGAAGAUGGUGCCUAA
rnacentral:rRNA from 1 species